rnacentral:rRNA from 1 species
AGCGAACGCUGGCGGCGCGCCUAACACAUGCAAGUCGAACGGAGUCAAGAGGAGCUUGCUUUUCUUGACUUAGUGGCGAACGGGUGAGUAACGCGUGAGUAACCUGCCCUGGAGUGGGGGACAACAGUUGGAAACGACUGCUAAUACCGCAUAAGCCCACGGAUCUGCAUGGAUCUGCGGGAAAAGGAUUUAUUCGCUCUAGGAUGGACUCGCGUCCAAUUAGCUAGUUGGUGAGGUAACGGCCCACCAAGGCGACGAUUGGUAGCCGGACUGAGAGGUUGAACGGCCACAUUGGGACUGAGACACGGACCAGACUCCUACGGGAGGCAGCAGUGGGGGAUAUUGCACAAUGGGGGAAACCCUGAUGCAGCGACGCCGCGUGGAGGAAGAAGGUUUUCGGAUUGUAAACUCCUGUCGUUAGGGACGAUAAUGACGGUACCUAACAAGAAAGCACCAGCUAACUACGUG